UGUUUUUUUCUAUAACUUUUAUUACUUUACUAUACCUAUUUUCAUCGAAAGUUACGGCUCAAGCUAAUCAAUUUAGAAUUGUGGGAGGUUUCGAUACCGACAUUUCGGAUGCUCCAUAUAUGGCCUCAUUGCGUGAGUUACGCAAGGAGAUUCGUGCACUGGGCAGUGGACAUUUUUGUGGUGGGACUAUUAUUAAAGAUCGUGUAAUUCUUACGGCAGCUCAUUGUUUAACUAAGUGGGUACGCCUCAGCGAAAAUGUUGCCUGUUCAUUCAGUUAAUUUUUGCUGCAGACGGAGCCCCGCCAAGGCAUUGGUUGUAGUGGGAUUCAAGUAUCUUUCCCUCAAUUGGCCGACGAUGAAGAAACUGAAAAUCUCAAAUUGGAAUUAUCAUAAAAAAUAUAGAAAGGAAAGAAAAGCAAUAUUCGAUAUUGGAUUGAUAUUCACAAUUGAAAAUAUAGAACCCGUUAAUGGGGCAAUCGCAUUUCUGCCCCUUAACACGGUGGAAAUAAGCCCUGGUACUAAAUGUCUAUUGUCUGGAUGGGGUCGAGUUGAGCACAAUGCACCCCAUAGAGCAAGUUGCCUGCAGUCAUUGUGGCAACGGAUUCUAGACAAAAGAGUAUGUUUUAAGAUCGCUAAUAGAUAUGACCUAUUGUGCACCAACUCAGGGCUUCCGACUGGGGCUAGUCGAGGUGAUUCAGGUGGUCCGCUGCGCUGCAACGAUAAACUUGCGGGUGUUAUCGCUGCCGGAGACCUACAUGGUCUCGCUUUAUAUACAGAUGUCCGGCCAUUUGCCGAUUGGAUAGAAGAACAGAUUAGGAAUGGAAUAAUGCCACUUGGCUCGUUUUGCAUUGGGAAGCACGUUGUUUUGGCCAUCAGCAUUUGUGUGGCCACCAUAUGCAAGUCGGGAUUUUAGACUCAGACUAAACCGAGUUACUUACAAUGACUUAUAAAUCAGUAGGCUUAUGAGUUUCGUUCAAUUAACAACUAAUAUUUCGAGAUUUAUAAAAUUCCAAAUUUCCUUGUCUGAAUUUUAGAAAACAAAUAUUAUGUCUCUAAUGCUAAUAUUGAUGAUUCAUAUCGUUUUAUUUUAUCCAUUGACAUCGGCGAAUGCUGCUUCAGACAAUGUUACUUUCAAAAUUAUAAACGGGUUUUCUUGCAACAUCAAGGAGACUCCCUAUCAGGUCUCACUGCGCUAUGCCUAUAGAGAGAGAAAACGAUGGGGCAGCGGCCAUUAUUGCGGUGGAACUAUUGUUAGCAAUCGUGCGAUUAUCACUGCAGCUCAUUGCCUAAGGGGGAGGCGCCAUAAGAAAGAAGUAGUAGUUGUAGUAGGAAACACUUUUCUAGACGACAGAUCUGCAACAACGAAGGAGCUGGAAAUCUUAUCUUGGCGUGUUCACCAAAAAUAUACUAAGCCAUUGAACGAUAUUGCAUUGAUCUUUACUGUCGAGCAUAUACAACCCAUUAGUGGGGCUAUUGAGAUUUUGCCCCUAAACACGAGGGAAGUCGACGUGGGUACCAGAUGUCUAGUAUCCGGCUGGGGUCAAGCCAAUCACUUUGUGCCAGAUCGCACGAAUGAUCUGAGGGCGCAAUGGAUACAGAUUGUCAGCCCUAAAAUCUGUAGGAAGCUCUAUCGUAUACCUAAAGUAAUUUGCGCCGGCGAUGAGUCCACUACUGGGCCCAGCUUUGGUGAUUCGGGGGGCCCGUUGAGGUGCGAAGAUAAAUUGUCGGGUAUCGUCUCUGUGGGAAGGCUUGAGGGUGGUCCGACCGCAUACACAAGUAUUCGGGAUUUAUACCCUUGGAUACGACGUGAGCUCAGUAGCUUCAAUGGAGCUCCGCCAAUGCGACCGUCUUGCAUCCAGAGACAGGUUGUUUUGGCCAUCACCAUUUAUAUGGUAACAAAAUGAUUCAUUCUGCUCUACGUAUUAAAACAUGUGGAAAUGAAGAAGUCCAGGUAUGUAGAAGCUGCUGGUAUGUGAUAUAUGUGUAACUAGCUCUAAUCAAGAGAUCAGUCAAUAAGGAUCAGAGUGGACUUUUUAUAUAGUUUUUGAAGAAUUGAUACCAACUAAUGUGUAUUUAUAUUGAGGACUAUAACUUUUAUUAAAAUCAACUAUUAACUUGAAUGCAAUUCUCAAGGAAUAUUGAAAAUGACUCCAUAAAAGCUCCACCCAUCGGCAAACCCAUUGGUCAAAUUUGUUUACAUUCCGCUUGGAAACUGGGUCAUUGUGAGCGCGAGCGAGCGAGAUGGCAACAGCAAUGUUGUUAAGCGAUUGUUCGCCGCUGGGACGCAGCUUGAAAUCGCCAACACGAUGGCAACGUGGGACAUGCCCUACCAGCGGCGAUAACAACAAACUGAUCAAAAAAAAAUCAGCAUAACGUUCAAGCCGCUGUAAAUGCUCUAUCUCGUGGAACGAUAAUUGGCCAGAAAUCGCAACUAACUUCAAAUUAUUGUUCAUAUUUUUAUGGAAUGACCUAAGAAAUGGAAAGAAAUAAUUGUAAAUAAUUUUUAAUAUUAGUUUAGCG
rnacentral:misc_RNA from 1 species